UUAAAUGGCUGCAGUAAUUAUCAUUAGUUUUUUAAUUAGAAGCUUGUAUGAAAGAUCGGACAAGGUAAAAUCUGUCUCUAUUUCAUUUAUAUUUGAAUUUAAUUUUUAAAUUAAAAAGCUUAAAUUUUAAUAAAAGGCGGGAAGACCCUAUAGAGUUUAAUAAUAUUAUUUAAUUUAUUAAUUUAGUUUUAUUUAAAUUUAUUAAAUAAGAUUAUUUUAUUGGGGUACUAAAAAGAUUAAAUUAAUUCUUUUUUAAAAUUUGUAUUAAUAUAUAAAUAGAAUGAUCCAUUUAUAGUGAUUAUAAGAUUAAAUUACCUUAGGGAUAACAGCGUAAUUUUUUUGGGUAGUUCAUAUAUAUAAAAAUGUUUGCGACCUCGAUGUUGGAUUAAAGAUUAUUUUAGGUGUAGAAGUUUAAAAUUUUGGUCUGAUCGACCAUUAAAUCUUUACAUGAUCUGAGUUCAGACCGGUGUGAGCCAGGUCGGUUUCUAUCUUUAUAAAAUUUUAAUAUUUUAGUACGAAAGGACCAAAUAUUAGAUAUAUUAAUAUUUAAUUUUUUAUUAUUAUUAGUUGUUUUGGCAGAUUAGUGCAAUGAAUUUAGAUUUCAUAUAUGUAAUUUAUUACAAAUAAUACUUGUUUUUUAUUGAUUUAAUUUUCUCUUUUUUUGUAUAUUAUUAUUAAUUAUUUGUUUAUUAGU
rnacentral:rRNA from 1 species